rnacentral:rRNA from 1 species
GCCUACGGCCGUGCCGCCCUGAACACGCCCGAUCCUGUCUGAUCUUGGAAGCUAAGCAGGGUCGGGCCUGGUUAGUACUUGGAUGGGAGACCACCUAAGAAGACCAGGUGCUGUAGGUG